rnacentral:tRNA from 1 species
GCCUGGCUGGCUCAGUCAGUAGAGCAUGCGACUCUUGAUCUCACAGUCGUGAGUUCAAGCCCCACGUUGGGUC